rnacentral:rRNA from 1 species
CGAACGGGAAUGCCACGCUGAUGCGAUUUCGGUCAAAUCAUGUGGCAUUCGAGUGGCGGACGGGUGAGUAACGCGUGGGUAACCUGCCUUACACGGGGGGAUAACACCUGGAAACAGGUGCUAAUACCGCAUAAGCGCACAGGGCCGCAUGGCCCGGUGUGAAAAACUCCGGUGGUGUAAGAUGGACCCGCGUCUGAUUAGCUUGUUGGCGGGGUAGGGGCCCACCAAGGCGACGAUCAGUAGCCGGCCUGAGAGGGUGGACGGCCACAUUGGGACUGAGACACGGCCCAAACUCCUACGGGAGGCAGCAGUGGGGGAUAUUGGACAAUGGGGGAAACCCUGAUCCAGCGACGCCGCGUGAGUGAAGAAGUAUUUCGGUAUGUAAAGCUCUGUCAGCAGGGAAGAAAGAAAUGACGGUACCUGACCAAGAAGCCCCGGCUAACUACGUGCCAGCAGCCGCGGUAAUACGUAGGGGGCAAGCGUUAUCCCGAAUUACUGGGUGUAAAGGGAGCGUAGACGGUGAUGCAAGUCUGGAGUGAAUGGCGGGGGCCCAACCCCCGGACUGCUCUGGAAACUGUGUAACUUGAGUGCAGGAGAGGUAAGCGGAAUUCCUAGUGUAGCGGUGAAAUGCG